UCCUGAGCAGCCCCCUCCGUGAGCCAGAAGCUUCCAGGCAUGGAGCCCAAGAGUGGGAGACACUGACAUAGGCCUUGUCUGCAGGGCAGGCGGUGACACCUGCAAGGCUCCAGUGAGACAACGAGGUGUGCUGAUGCCAGGAGAAGAAAUGGUGAGAGCUGUGGGGAGCCUGACCCAGAGGACAGAGGACAGGACUCCGGCAGAGCUGAGAGAUGACGUGGCAGAGAGUGGAACGGACUUGGUGGCACCACGGAUGCUGACGGAGAGGGAGAAGGAAAAAGAGGGAGGGUGAGUUUCCAGGUGCUGGUUGGUGUCUUUUGCUUGGUCCAGCCCCUCUCGAGGUCCAAUUAUAUAUGGAGCUGGGGCAAUUGUCAACAGUUUGGUGUGUGUUAUUUCAUCCUGUUGGUGAGGCAUCCCUUGAAAAUAAACAGCACCCUCAGAGUUAAGACAGUAUAUCUCCAAUGUAGAAACUGUCUCUUCAAAGUAUUGCUGGGGGCGGUAGCAAAUAAAAAAUGGCAAUCCUGUUUCCAUAAA